rnacentral:rRNA from 1 species
GAGAAGGGAGCAAUCCUAAGUAAAGUGGCGCACGGGUGAGUAACACGUGGAUCAUCUACCUUUUAGUGGGGAAUACCUCUGGGAAACCGGAGACAAUACCGCAUAAGCCCGCAAGGGGAAAGCAGCAAUGCGCUGAAAGAGGAGUCCGCGGCCGAUUAGCUAGUUGGCGGGGUAAUGGCCCACCAAGGCGAAGAUCGGUAGCCGGCCUGAGAGGGCACACGGCCACACUGGCACUGAAACACGGGCCAGACUCCUACGGGAGGCAGCAGUGGGGAAUCUUGCACAAUGGACGAAAGUCUGAUGCAGCGACGCCGCGUGAGCGAUGAAGCCCUUCGGGGUGUAAAGCUCUUUCGACGGGAACGAUAAUGACGGUACCCGGAGAAGAAGCUGCGGCUAACUACGUGCCAGCAGCCGCGGUAAUACGUAGGCAGCGAGCGUUGUUCGGAAUUACUGGGCGUAAAGAGUGUGUAGGCGGUGUUCCCAGUCUGUUGUGAAAUCUCCCGGCUUAACUGGGAGGGUGCAGCGGAAACUAGAAUGCUAGAGGGUGGGAGAGGUAAGCGGAAUUCCUGGUGUAGCGGUGAAAUGCGUAGAUAUCAGGAGGAACACCUGUGGUGUAGACAGCUUACUGGACCACUUCUGACGCUGAGACACGAAAGCGUGGGUAGCAAACAGGAUUAGAUACCCUGGUAGUCCACGCCCUAAACGAUGCAUACUUGGUGUGAGCGAUUCAUU